rnacentral:rRNA from 1 species
UACGGAGGGGGCGAGCGUUAUUCGGAAUUAUUGGGCGUAAAGGGCGCGUAGGCGGCUUGACAAGUCAAAGGUGAAAUCCCUCGGCUCAACUGAGGAACUGCCUUUGAAACUGUCAGGCUUGAGGCCGGGAGGGGGUAGCGGAAUUCCCAGUGUAGCGGUGAAAUGCGUAGAUAUUGGGAGGAACACCAGUGGCGAAGGCGGCUACCUGGACCGGUACUGACGCUGAUGCGCGAAAGCGUGGGUAGCAAACAGG